UCUGAGAUGAAUCACGGUUGGUGCCUAAAAGAAAACUACAGCACUUAAUACCUCCAUUCCCGUUUUAUUAAAUGUAAAGAUUCCAGAAAAUAGAUAAGUAAAUGUUAAACUCUAGAAAUUUCAGCUUUCGCCAAUGCAAGAUUGAUACUUCCCAGAAUGACAUUGUUAGCCAUGGUGAUUACUGAAACAUCUCGCAACUUUGAAACGAAG